rnacentral:lncRNA from 1 species
UAAAGGCGAUAAAAAUAAAAAAUGUAAGUUCUUUUAUCACAACGUAAAAGUAUUUAAUGAUAGCAUGCUCGCCUCGAGGCAUUUCCACGUAAAAGUGUUAAUUCACUCGAAAUCAUACACAUUCAAACAUUUAAAAAAUGUACUGGUCAACUCUCAGAAUGCAAAACUUCAAAUAGUUGAAUGAAAGUAGGUUACGAGCUUCCAUUUCAAAGCCUGCCAACAUUAUAUAAGUGAACUCGGCCUGGAAGCCCCACAUGGUUCUGACUCGACAUGGCAACAGCAACAAAUUAAAAUUAAAGACCGCUCACUUAUUGACAUUUACCAUGCAACAUGUUUGACAAAUUAAUAUACAUUCACAAGACAGGUGACCAGACACUUAAAUAGCCAUAGCAGACAUGCUAUAAGGAAAGCAAAAUUGGAAACCAACAUAGGUGCCAAUAUCUUGUAGAAAAUUUGAUAACAGAUAUUGAAUAGAUUUCCACUUUACAGAAAGUGACACUUCAGGGCAUUUCACAAGAAAAAUGAAAAUAAAAAAUAAUGAUAUUAAAUUGUUUUGGCAUAGUUACAAUCACUUUACUUUAUCAUUCAACAGCCUCAACUAUAAAAUAAAAAAAAAGGAACGAGAAGGAAAAUGAAAAGACACAGUCAAGCAAAUGAUACCACUAAUGCAAACUCCUGAGAAUUUUCAUAAUUAUAAGAAGUAAGCAGAAUAUACCAUAACUAACAACAUUCGGAGCAUCAUGUGGGCCAAAACACUAAAGAACACUUAAAAUAUAUAAAUUAUCAGAUACCUGAUGACUUGCACUUGUGCCUUUAUAAUUAGUGUGUCAGAAGCAUCUAAAAACCCAUCUGACACUUUUGAUAGUUCCAUGAAUUUUUUCCAUCCCCAGUCAUGCUCUUUCUUCCAGAAACGAUGUAAUGUAUCUGCAAAUUUUGCAUUUAUUCACUUAUUCAAAUAAUAUAUCAACAGCUCAUUAUGUAACUAGGAUAUUAUUCAACCAACCUACCUGAAUAUUUUGAUUUUUUUGGGUCUUUAUUCACCACAGCUAUUGUAAACUGGGCAAAAUGACUCCAACCUGGCUCCCAGUCAAAACAGAAAAGUACAUAAUUACACCAGAAAGAAUGAAGGAAUGCAAUUUUCAAACUUAUUAAUUAAUAUCAAACCUGGAAGAAGUUUGUCAUGGUUGGCAACACAAAGAAACAAAGAGAGAUGAUUGCAAACAUCACAGCCUUGGGGAUAUAUUAAUAUGUACCUGCAAUCCAAGGCAAAAGGCAGCAUUUCCACGUAACAGUGACUUUCAGCAAGCAAGGUGCAUAAUGCCAAUAAAAUAACAGAAUGCAUGAGAAAACAAACACAUGCAAAGCCAUACCAUUUGUAGCCGCCGACCUCAAAUGCAUUACUACGAAGUUCUCUUUUGUUAAUCUGUGAAAACUUCUCUAUCUUCCAUGUGUAUUUUCCAUACAACUCAGAAGGUUUUGGCCCUACAAUUGAGAAAAAUUAGUUCACAACAAAUUAACGAAAAUUCCUCUAUCUUCCAUGUUUUCCAUACAACUCAGAAGGUUUUGUCCCUAAAGUAAAGUAAAAUCAAUUCACAACAACUUAAACAAAUAUCACUGUAACAGAAAGGAGCAUACUAGCGUCCAUUUGUCAAUAUCUUCAAUUUUAUCAUGUUAUAUUGCAAGUUUGCAAGCAUUUAUGCUGAAAGUGUUACAGGUUACACAUUUUAGAUGUACAACUAUACAACUUAACUCAAUUAAACGUUAAUCCCAAUACCAAAUGUUGGAGGAAAUGCAAAAAAAUAAAAUAAAAUAAAUAAUAAAAUUUACUUGGCUGUUGGUACACCAACUAUAAGAUUUUCGAAAAAGGUUUUACCCAUUCCUCAUUAAAAUUCCCUACAAAAGAAAUUGUACGUUAACCCAUUUCAGUGAAUGCAAGUCUCUCUGUAAGAAUGGCACAACCGCAAGUUUGAAGUGGAAGAGAAUGAAGUUCAUUGGUAAAGUUUUCAACCGAACAACAUUUUAAAUUUUUUACAUAUCCAAUAUGUAAGAUAAGGAGCUCAAUUUCUAUCAUCCUGACAUCCCAGUGUAGUUGGGUUUAACCAUAUCAAGGUUGGAUCACCCUCUUUUCCUUACAUCUCCAACAUUUUUCACACACUUCUAGCUUUCAUGCUGAAAGAUUACAUUAGUUGUAAAGAACAUAUUAACUGGAAAGGAAAAGCAAAAUCAGAGAGGAGAGGGAGCAUACCUCCAUCAUCGUCAUCAUCAGUGUCCCAGUAAGGGGGUGAAGUUGAUGGGGUUCCAUUUUCCACCUGCUCAGAUGACCGCCAUUCUGCCAAUGCUUCACCUGAUUGGCAGCGUUGACCACUAGAAAUCCCCUCUGUAGACCUUGCAACUCCAGCUUCCUCACUUGAAAUCCCAGCCAUUUCCCACUCCAAAACUCCUUCCCCACAAUCCUUCCAACUCCACUCACUGCAUAACAAGAAGCACUCAUAAGAGAUAAACAAAAUUAGCCAUUGCUUAUCAAGUUACAUGGCAAGAAACAUCAUACAAAUUUCAUAAACAUAACCAUUUAGUAAAACAUAGCAAGUUAAAUGGCAAGAAACAUCAUACGAAUUUCAUAAACAUAACCAUUUAGUAAAACAUAGCUCUUGAAAAUUAAUUUGAAUGACAAUAAACAUUUGAGCACUUCAAAGGAUUAUUUUCACCUUUUUCUUUUGAAAAACGAUAAUAAAUCCUCAAAUCAAAGCAUACUAACUAAACUGCUUCAAGUGAAGAUCCACAAAAAAAAAAACAAACAAUAUUUAGAAGAACAUGAGCGGAAUGGCGAAUAAACUUUGCAUUUCUCAAUUAUAUAUCACUGGGGAACUCAAGAAACGAGAAACCAUCACUUCACAGAAUUUUAAACAACCAUUCAGCUUAGAGACUUGGAUUCCCAAACACCAAAACAUCAUCGGGUGCAUUCAUGUUAACUCUUUAAUUCUCAAUCCCACGAUUUGCCAGGCAUACAAACAGACCCAACAUACACAAUCCUCAAAUUCAAAAACCCACAUCCAAAAACCAAUUUGCAAUAAAUCCCAAUCUCUCAAUAAAAUACAAAGAAAAAAACUCAAGCGAAAAAAAUAAAACUGAUUGGGAAAAAAGUGUAAAUAAAAAUAAAACGCGUUUUAAAAAAAAAAUAGCAAUCCAUAUACCCUAUGGCAUUAAACGCACGCUAGUUAAAACCCUUCACAAUCCCGAACCAGAAACUUGAGAUCGAAUUCACAAGAAAAAUCCCAAAACCCCCGAUCAAGCCGAACCCUAAAACACAGAGCAAAAACGUACAAAAAACCCCCCCAAAAAAAUAUAUAGAGAGAAAAGAGACAAAAAGAGGAAUUGGGAACGACAACGUUCAGAUCGAAUGGAGAUACAAACCUGAGCUUUGUGAAAUGGGUUAUGGGCAAGCUCUGAGAUUCUAGAGAGAGAAAGAGACGAUAGAUAGAGAGAGAGGUCCAAGGAGCAGCAAAAGAAAUAAAAGAAGAAGAGACCAAAGGCAGAGCCCAAAAAAAAAGAAUUUUAUUUUUUUGAUGUUAUUUAGGUUUUAAUUAAUUAAUUAAUUAACGAUUUGUCAUUUUACUAAAUACUAGAAAAACCUAAGUUUUAUUUGGGAGAAGAUACAGCGCGAGCGAGCAAGGAAGAGAUACAGAGAGAGAAAGAAGAGAGGUGGCGUGGCCACUGGCUUGCUUGUGUUGCUCCUCCACUCCUCUAAUCUCUCAAAACAAUAGAAUUAAAAAAAAAUAAAAUUAAAUAAAUAAAGAUAAAUGAGCAGUGAAUAUAGGAAAAAAUCAGAAAAUAAAUAAAAGAGCAUAAUAAAAGAGUGAAAGGUGUGGUAUGGUGUGGUGAGGCACACACAGGGUCGGUGGAGGUGGACAGAUGUCGAAGAGCAGGACAAGUGGAGAGAGAUGGCAGGUGUCAUUUCUUUGGUUUUUUAUAUUUUAUUUUUAUUUAGGAAGGCGUUGUUUAGGGUUUGCACACUGCCCUGAAUCUGAUAGUAUGGUUGGCCAAUUGGGCACGCCCGUUCAAUGGGUGGAUAAGGCCUUCUUUUUUUUGGGCUCAGCUUCUGAUGGCUAUGGGCUGAAUUAGGUUGAUUCAACAAGUGAGAAUUUAAAAUUUUUAAUACUAGUAUAAUUUUGAAAUUUUAGGAGGCCAGGCAAAAAAAGGUCGUGAUUCUGAACUUCCAUUUGGUGGAUUUUGAACUUCCGGGAAGAAAGGGCCACUUAAACAUUUCCGGCCAAUCGAUCAUAUUAGUAUAUUACCAUUGCAUAUUAUAUUUAUUCUCUCUUUUUAUAAUAUAACAAAAAUAAUAAUGUAUAUUAUUAUUUCACACAAAAUCUCUAAAUAGUUUAUUAUAUUCUCUUUUUUGAUAUACUGAUUUGAGCGUUAAAAUGACUGUUGUGCCAUUAUCUCGCCUUCUCUUCUUUAUCGAUCCAGCGAAUCACUGUAUAAUUUAAUUUCGGCCAUAUCAUUAAUCUAAUAUCUGCAAUAUUAUUUAAUUUUUUUUGCUGAAAAAUCUUUUAAAUAAUCCAUUCAUUUAAAUUAUGAUCAAUUUCCUACACUUUUUCUCAUAAAAAAAUCACUAUGAUAAAGAAAAAAUAUAUGUGAUGAAAUGUAUGAAGGAUUUAGUUUUUGUCCAACAAAAAAUAAUUUAGCGAUGGAAAAAGCGAUGGAUUUGAGAUAAAUAAUGCAUCACCGAAAUUUCCGAUUUCUAAUGGGUGGGGGUAAGUGAGUAAUUAGUGAUAGAAAAAAUAUUGUCGCUAAUCGAUAAAGAACUUUUAAAAAAACCCUCAAAAUAGCCUAAAUAUCUCUUUCUCACUUUUUCAUUUUCAGCCAUCAGUCCUCUUUUCCCUUCCCCACAUAAGUCACUCACUGAAGCUUCUCUUUCGCUCGUCGGUGACAUCGAAAUUGCAUCGAUCGAAAACAACUGCGACAUUAUCGAUGAUACGGAUCUUCAACAGCAACUUUCAAAUGUGCUUUACCAGCAAAGGCAUCACCAUUGCAGCAACCCUUUAUGUGUCACCACCGUGAACUACCGCACGCUGCCGCCAUAUCUCUAUCUUACUGUCGCCACUGUUGUGUAUCCUGAGCCACGAUUUGAGUAACUAAAAUCCAUAGGGUGUCUAGAUGAUGCAACUGGAUAGAGGCUAAAUUGAAUGGGUUGACCGUUGAUCCAUGAUUGGAUCCAUUAGGUCGCUCUAUAUUUGAUCUUGAGAAAAGAGACUUGUAAGAUAAGAAAAGAGAGUCCACCAGAAAUUUAUUAAUAUAAAGGGAAAAUAAAUAAAGUAUUCAAAAGAAUUUCCAGAGAGCAUGUAUUUUGGGAGUUCUUCUAUAAGUAUUUUUUAGAGAGAUUAACUUUCUAGAGAGAUUGACCUAUGAGAGAAAGAGAAAAUUCUGAAAGCUCGAGAGAAUUUCACUAAGAACCUGUUGAGAGAGGUUGGUUUAGGGAUAUUUAUACAUUGAUUCCCUACUUUACGUUCCAUAAAUUUGGACGAAGGUAUAUCAGACGACUGUUAGUUAUCUAAUUAUUGCAAAACCGAUUUGCCUAUAUCCUAUUGAAUAGUCUUUUUGCACGUGUAUUUAAUAUUUCUAUUUAAUAUUUCGAAGAGAGUUAGUGGAACCGAUGGUUACCGAUGGUUGGUGUAUUGCUCUGAAAAUUCAUAUGGUGACGUUAUCAACCUUAGAUUGAUACAAGCUACCCAAUAAAUCAACACUAAAAGAUAUUAACAGGAGAAGAAAUAAUGUGUUACAUUGAGAACAAAAUUCCUAAUCCAUAAAAGUAUUUACUUUAAUUCAUUCUAGUAGCAAUGAAGCAAAAUCACUCUACAAUCUUAAUUAAUGAAUUACAAUUCAAACAUAUGGGAAAACCCAUUACUUCACUUAACAUAAUCCGCACACUAAUACAGGAAUGAAAAGACUAACCUACCGCUUGUAAUAGCAUGGCAUUGAAGUUUAAUACUUGUAAACAAAGCCAACAAAGUUGAUAAAGAUUUACAUACUGCAUGAGCUAAAGUGCCGAAUAGCUAAAAGGUCAUUCUACAGCUGAAAUGCAACACAAGUAAAUACUGACUGGUAGUAACAUUUAUUUAAUUGCAUCAGACAACUUAAACCCAGUAUAUAACUGGAUCCCUCCACUAGCCACCAAUGUAUAUAAGUAGAAUCUAUCACAAAGAGUUCAGCAUAAAUACUGAUGUCCUAACCCAACCCACCUUUGUACGAUUCUGUAGCCCCUUUUCGUCUUUUGGAGGUAAUGGUUCCAUGGCAGCCCCCUCAAGCAGUAGCAGAACAUCAUCCACCAAUACAAACAUAUCUUUCUCCACACGAACAAUUGGAGCUGGCAUUUCUUCAGUGUCCAACAAUUUCACCCUUCCCUUCUUGCUCUUAGUUUGGCCUUCAAGAGCCUUCAAUCCACUAUACAAGGAAUCCAUUACCAAAGUAGAUGUGACCUCCUUCGCUAUAAAGAAAUGCUUUACAACUACUUUCAGAAUUACAUCAGUUUCGCCCUAGACAUUCGGCGGCGAGCAUUUGGAUCCAUUCCCAACCAGAAAGCACGAAAGCUGCAAAAUUUGAAAUUGCCCGUCAUCUAGUUACUCUAUAUGCUAACCAGAAUAAUAAAUCCAGCCUCCUAAGCACGGCCAGAUUUUCAAACCACAGUCAAAGAAAGUAGAAGACAAUAUCAUAGAAUAACCACAGAAACACAAAGAUUUCUUCAUGUGGCAUGUAGAAUAGAUGGAAUUAGUAAUAAUUGUUCAAACAUUUGAACGAUUUCAAAUUAAAAGAUACAAUACCUUGACCGUCUGCCAACAUUAUAUAAGUGAACUCGGCCUGGAAGGCCCACAUGGUUCUGACUCGGCAUGGCAACAGCAACAAUUCAAAAUUAAAGACCGCUCACUUAUUGACAUUUACCAUGCAACAUGUUUGACAAAUUAAUAUACAUUCACAAGACAGGUGACCAGACACUUAAAUGGCCAUAGCAGACAUGAUAUAAGGAAAGCAAAAUUGAAACCAACAUAGGUGCCAAUAUCUUGUAGUAAUUUUGAUAACAGAUAUUGAAUUGAUCUCCACUUUACAGAAAGUG